CCUUUUGUAUAAUGGGUCAGCGACUUAUAUUCUGUAGCAAGGUUAACCGAAUAGGGGAGCCGAAGGGAAACCGAGUCUUAACUGGGCGUUAAGUUGCAGGGUAUAGACCCGAAACCCGGUGAUCUAGCCAUGGGCAGGUUGAAGGUUGGGUAACACUAACUGGAGGACCGAACCGACUAAUGUUGAAAAAUUAGCGGAUGACUUGUGGCUGGGGGUGAAAGGCCAAUCAAACCGGGAGAUAGCUGGUUCUCCCCGAAAGCUAUUUAGGUAGCGCCUCGUGAAUUCAUCUCCGGGGGUAGAGCACUGUUUCGGCAAGGGGGUCAUCCCGACUUACCAACCCGAUGCAAACUGCGAAUACCGGAGAAUGUUAUCACGGGAGACACACGGCGGGUGCUAACGUCCGUCGUGAAGAGGGAAACAACCCAGACCGCCAGCUAAGGUCCCAAAGUCAUGGUUAAGUGGGAAACGAUGUGGGAAGGCCCAGACAGCCAGGAUGUUGGCUUAGAAGCAGCCAUCAUUUAAAGAAAGCGUAAUAGCUCACUGGUCGAGUCGGCCUGCGCGGAAGAUGUAACGGGGCUAAACCAUGCACCGAAGCUGCGGCAGCGACGCUGAUGCGUUGUUGGGUAGGGGAGCGUUCUGUAAGCCUGCGAAGGUGUGCUGUGAGGCAUGCUGGAGGUAUCAGAAGUGCGAAUGCUGACAUAAGUAACGAUAAAGCGGGUGAAAAGCCCGCUCGCCGGAAGACCAAGGGUUCCUGUCCAACGUUAAUCGGGGCAGGGUGAGUCGACCCCUAAGGCGAGGCCGAAAGGCGUAGUCGAUGGGAAACAGGUUAAUAUUCCUGUACUUGGUGUUACUGCGAAGGGGGGACGGAGAAGGCUAUGUUGGCCGGGCGACGGUUGUCCCGGUUUAAGCGUGUAGGCUGGUUUUCCAGGCAAAUCCGGAAAAUCAAGGCUGAGGCGUGAUGACGAGGCACUACGGUGCUGAAGCAACAAAUGCCCUGCUUCCAGGAAAAGCCUCUAAGCAUCAGGUAACAUCAAAUCGUACCCCAAACCGACACAGGUGGUCAGGUAGAGAAUACCAAGGCGCUUGAGAGAACUCGGGUGAAGGAACUAGGCAAAAUGGUGCCGUAACUUCGGGAGAAGGCACGCUGAUAUGUAGGUGAAGUCCCUCGCGGAUGGAGCUGAAAUCAGUCGAAGAUACCAGCUGGCUGCAACUGUUUAUUAAAAACACAGCACUGUGCAAACACGAAAGUGGACGUAUACGGUGUGACGCCUGCCCGGUGCCGGA
rnacentral:rRNA from 1 species